rnacentral:guide_RNA from 1 species
UGUCGGGUAGAUAUGCGUAUAAAUGA